UGGUGUUGCGGGGCGAAUAAUUGAUGAAGGCAUAGCCGCGCAUCUGGUCCACGAUGUGAAACAGCGGGUUCCAGUCGAACAUCUGCAACAUGACGGGCGGCAGGGCGUUGGCCACGAACAUCUUGCCCGAGGCGAUCAUGUUGAUGCGCUG
rnacentral:ncRNA from 1 species